rnacentral:rRNA from 1 species
AGUGAACGCUGGCGGUAGGCCUAACACAUGCAAGUCGAACGGCAGCACAGUAAGAGCUUGCUCUUACGGGUGGCGAGUGGCGGACGGGUGAGGAAUACAUCGGAAUCUACUUUUUCGUGGGGGUUAACGUAGGGAAACUUACGCUAAUACCGCAUACGACCUACGGGUGAAAGCAGGGGAUCUUCGGACCUUGCGCGAUUGAAUGAGCGGAUGUCGGAUUAGUUAGUUGGCGGGGUAAAGGCCCACCAAGGCGACGAUCCGUAGCUGGUCUGAGAGGAUGAUCAGCCACACUGGAACUGAGACACGGUCCAGACUCCUACGGGAGGCAGCAGUGGGGAAUAUUGGACAAUGGGCGCAAGCCUGAUCCAGCCAUACCGCGUGGGUGAAGAAGGCCUUCGGGUUGUAAAGCCCUUUUGUUGGGAAAGAAAAGCAGCAGGUUAAUACCCCGCUGUUCUGACGGUACCCAAAGAAUAAGCACCGGCUAACUUCGUG